rnacentral:ncRNA from 2 species
AUAUACCGCUAGGGGUGACGGGAAACCGUCUGAGAUUAAACCCUUUGAACUUGAUUGAGUUUAUACUCACGAAAGGAAGCUUUCCGAGUCCCAA